AUACGGAGGAUCCGAGCGUUAUCCGGAUUUAUUGGGUUUAAAGGGUGCGCAGGCGGCCAUUUAAGUCAGCGGUUAAAUCGUGGGGCUCAACCCCAUUCUGCCGUUGAUACUGGGUGGCUUGAUUGCGGUCGAGGUUGGCGGAAUUCGUUGUGUAGCGGUGAAAUGCAUAGAUAUGACGAAGAACACCGAUUGCGUAGGCAGCUGACCAGACCGCAAAUGACGCUCAUGCACGAAAGUGCGGGGAUCGAACAGGAUUAGAUACCCUGGUAGUCCGCACAGUAAACGAUGAAUACUUGUUUUCGGCGAUAUAAUGUCGGAGGCAAAGCGAAAGCGAUAAGUAUUCCACCUGGGGUGUACGCCGGCAACGGUGAAACUCAAAUGAAUUGACGGGG
rnacentral:rRNA from 1 species